UUCAUUCUUCUCUGAACAGGUGGCAGUUACUGGUGUUGGUCAAUAAUGUGGGACAGGAAGUGGUGUCUUGACAGCCUAUAAGGUGACAUUGAUGUGGACUAGAAGUUGUGUUGUGUGGACUAGAGGCUGUGGUAUGUGGAUUAGAGGUUGUGUUGUGUGGACUAGAGGUUGUGUUAUGUGGACUAGAGGUUGUGUUGUGUGGAAUAGAGGUUGUCUUGUGCUACAGGUAUCCUGGAGAGUAGAAGGACAUAUGUAGCGUUUCAUCUUACACAUCUGUACAGUAAAUGUUGAUCAUGAAAAUAUUAUGAAGGCAGUGUCUCACUCUACGAUUCCUGGGAGGAUACAAAGACUAAUAUAUACAGUAUAUACAGCAAAUGAAUUACUUAAAAAUCAUACAAUGUGAUUUUCUGCGUUUUUGUUUUAGAUUCCGUCUCUCACAGUUGAAGUGUACCUAUGAUAAAAAUUACAGACCUCUACAUGCUUUGUAAGUAGGAAAACCUGCAAAAUCAGCAGUGUAUCAAAUACUUGUUCUCCCCACUGUAACUAACUCUGUUGGGGCAUUUUAUUUGGAGGGAGAGAAGAUUUCGGGCCCCUGUAAACACUGUCUGUCUAUGUGAACUGUUUUUGUGUUUGUGUCAAAUGUUUUCUUGUGUGCGGGCGUUUGCUGUCAUGUUAAUUUGGGAGCUCCUCUCCAUAAUAAAUGAGUCCUUGAUUCCACUCUCCUCCUGCUAAUGUAGCCGUGAAUCACGUCAUGUCUUCAGUGCAGGCAUCACAUACACAGGCACACACACACAUGCCGGCAUGGACCCACAUACACACAUGAAGGCAUGUACGCCAUUUACACACACUCUCU
rnacentral:lncRNA from 13 species